AUGGUGCCAGGGCCUCCUCACUCCACACCAGUCCCAGUUCUAAUUAUCUGGAUUAUCCCACCUACUGUCUGGGAGCUCAAGCAUGGCUCGUCUGAAGAAAACCUCAGAGAACAACAACAGUCAAACGUAAGUGGAACUGAAUAUAUACAGUUAACAAUCAAGUGUAAUUGCAAGGAAUAUUAUUUGGAUUAGAUGACUAUACGCCAGCCCCAGGGCACUGUGGCAGAUGCAACACAAGGUCUAAUAAACUAUAGGUCCCUGCUGCCGGUAUUACUCUA
rnacentral:lncRNA from 1 species